rnacentral:rRNA from 1 species
UACGUAGGGGGCAAGCGUUGUCCGGAUUUAUUGGGCGUAAAGAGCGUGUAGGCGGCUGGGUAGGUCCGUUGUGAAAACUCGAGGCUCAACCUCGAGACGCCGAUGGAAACCCUCCAGCUAGAGUCCGGAAGAGGAGAGUGGAAUUCCUGGUGUAGCGGUGAAAUGCGCAGAUAUCAGGAAGAACACCCGUGGCUAAGGCGGCGCUCUAGUACGGUACUGACGCUGAGAGACGAAAGCCAGGGGAGCAAACGGG